CCCCUCUUGUGGUUUUACACCAAUGUCUCUAUCAGGACUCUCGUUGGAGGCUCUCCUACAUAAUUGUAAAGGCUAUGAUCUCAAGGGGCUAGGUCCGUUAUAAGAAGCCAUUCCGACACGUGUUACAGUUUAAUUGGUUGGCCAAAGUCCCUCCCCGUAAGAGCAACUCCACCCCUUAGGGCAAAGUCUAAGGCAAGGGCAAGCAAGGGCAAGCAAGGGCUGACACUAUUCACGUGAAUAGUGUCAGCCUUGCCAUUUGUGGUUCCACCCACAAGGGCAAAGUCUAGGGCAAGUCUAGGGCAAUUACUAUUCAUUGUACUUUAUUUCCUAUUUUUUAAUACUUUAAAUCAUUAAUUUUGAUAAUCUUUUGUAAUUAAAUUUUCGGAUAAGAUUUUCGGAUGUGAAUCUCGGUUGCCACGUG
rnacentral:lncRNA from 1 species